rnacentral:lncRNA from 1 species
AUGCUCUAUAGUCACGUCCUUCAUACAGAGUCUUGUGUCCUUCUGUAUCAUUUUUAUUUAGUAAGGCUCUGCAUUCGUUCAACUACUGAACUGUAUCAUUCAAUCUGCCAUACAGGACUUUAUAAAGAUGACCACAGAACGUGUAUGUGUUUCCAUUGGAGUGCUGCUGUUUGCCUUUUUGUCUUUCUCCAUUGUUCAAGCUCGACGUGUAAAAACAGCGAAGGUCACACCACCAACCGGCCGAGUAUGAACCCAGCGGAGGGCAGUGGAGCUGGUUUCAACGUGGGCGGUCUGAAGUCUGUCCUGCAGAACGCCGUGUCCCCAGCCUUCGGCGCCACCAUCAUCAUCAUCAUCACUGUUAUCGUGUCAGGGAGCGCCUACCUCUGUUUCCUCAAGUACAUCUGUGCAGGCUGCUGCAAACCCACACAGGUGGCCCCGGUCACACAACUAGACCCAAACAAGAGUGAGGAGCAGGUGUAGCGGAGUCUGUCAAGUUUCAAGUUUUUAUUGUCACGUGUACUAGUACAAUGAAAUUCCUUUCUUGCUUGUUCUUUUCCAACAAUGCAGUAAUCAAUAUCAGUAAUACUAUAAAAUGAAUUUUAAAAAGUUAAGUGGAACAAAAUCACAAAAUAAGAACACAAGAAAGUAAGUAAGCUAUAUACAGGGUCAGUUCCAGAGUUAGUGCCAAUACUAUUGACAAUGUGUAGGGCAGUGGCUACGCAUCAUUCAGGGCAGAGACCCAACUGUUUGGAGGCACCCCAUUUUUUUGCCUGUUUUGCAUGUUAUUUUGGCAUUAAUAAGUGUCACAUAUCAGUUUGCAAACAAUGUAAAACAUAAAUAAUCAUUGAGUUAAUAAAGCCGCAUACCAACAUGGUUUCUUUUUUGCUUUCUUGAGUAAGGCAGCUCCAAAAUGCAGGGGUUUUAGCUAGAGGUCGACCGAUUAAUUGGAAUGGCCGAUUAAUUAGGGCCGAUUUCAAAUUUUCAUAACAAUCGGUAAUCAGCAUUUUUUUGGACACCGAUUAUGGCCGAUUACCUUGCACUCCACGAGGAGACUGCGUGGCAGGCUGACUACCUGUUAUGCGAGUGCAGUAAAGAGCCAAGGUAAGGUGCUAGCUAAACUCAUAAAAAACAAUCAAUCUGAACA